rnacentral:rRNA from 1 species
CCUACGGGUGGCUGCAGUGAGGAAUAUUGGACAAUGGACGGAAGUCUGAUCCAGCCAUGCCGCGUGCGGGAAGACGGCUCUAGGAGUUGUAAACAGCUUUUGUGCAAGGGUAAACCUUAAUACGUGUAUCCAGCUGAAUGUACGUUACGAAUAAGGAUCGGCUAACUCCGUUCCAGCAGCCGCGGUACUGCGGCGGAUACAAGCGUUAUCCGGAUUUAUUGGGUUUAAAGGGUGCGUAGGCGGGUUGAUAAGUUAGAUGUGAAAUGUCCGGGCUGAACCCGGGCACUGCCUCUCAUACUGUUGGUCUAGAGAGUAGAUGAGGUAGGCGGAAUGUAUGGUGUAGCGGUGAAAUGCUUAGAGAUC